rnacentral:RNase_MRP_RNA from 2 species
AGAUAUUUAUAUUAUUAAUAGGAAAGUCAUAAAUAUAUAAAUUAUAUUAUAUAAUUAAUAUAAUAAUAAAAUAAAUUAUAUAUUUUAUUUAUAAUAUUAUUUCUUUAUAAGAUAAAUAUUAUCUAAUUAAUAAUUAGAUUGAAUAAUAUUUAUAAAGAAAUAUAUAUAAAAAAUCAUUAUAUAAAUUUAAUUAUAAUUUAAAUAAAUUUUAUAUAAAUUAAUAUAAUAUUAAUAAAGUAAUUAGUAUAAAUAAAUAAUAUGAAAAUAAAACUUAAUAAAUAUAUAAAUAUAGUCCGGCCCGCCCCGCGGGGCGGACCCCGCAGGAGUGAGGGACCCCUCCCUAUACUAAUGGGAGGGGGACCGAACCCCUUUUAAAGAAGGAGUCCAUAUAUAUAUAUUAAUAAAAAGUAAUAUAUAUAUAUAUAUUGGAAUAGUUAUAUUAUUAUACAGAAAUAUGCUUAAUUAUAAUAUAAUAUCCA